AUACAGUACUUAUAUACAUCUUUUUGAGUAUUUACAAAAUAGAGAGCCCAUGGAUGUUACACAUGUAUAAAAAUAUGCAUUACAUCUAUAUAAAUAUGUACACAAUGUGCAAAACAUAUGGCGUUACAAACAACAAGAGGCAUGGCAUGGGAGGCGGCGAUAAAGAGAGGGGACUGGAACUACUAACAAUGCGAAGCCUUAGUUUUUAACCUUUCAGCGUCAAUCUGCGAUUGAGGAUGGAGCCUCUCAGUGCCUCAUUUGUAAAUUAAAUAUCCUCCACAGAGCUUUGUUCCACCAACAAAUAUACAGUGUUCACAGGAUGAUAAACAGUGCAGGUGAAUAAAGAGAGCAGGAGCAGGCAGCUGAAGUUUAACAAGCAAACAGCAAUGUUCAGAAAACCUGCAGGAAUUCUUCCACGAGAAAAAUGAGUUAUUUCAAUCCUGACACACACCCCUCCCUCCCCCUCGCGGGUAAUGAAGUGCGUCUGAACUGUAUUACUCUGUAGUAAAGGCUCUUACACGAAUAAAAUCAAGGCAGGAUCUGACACACAGUACAGCAUAUGUCGAGGGAGAGCAGCUAUUAUUGCUUUUAGCUGUCCUUGCCUGGGCCAGUCAGCAGCCACAAUAGCGAGCUGGGAGUUGCGUCGCAUCACAAACGUGUGGAUUUACUCCAGCAAAGAGAUUUAUGUUUAUCUGAUAUGAAAGAUUUUGUCUUAGAAAAACAAAAAUAUACACAUAAAACAAGAUUAAAUGUUGAAUCUUUUACUUUAAUUCUACAAAGAGAAAAGAGAUACAAAAGAUAAAAAAAUGAGAGUGAGAAAUAUAAUGUUUCACUGCCUUUUUGGCAACAACGUAUCGAACGUGACAGCCUUUAACGCUGACAAUCAGAAGGAGGAAAAACGCGUUGAACAUGAAUCAGCCAGUGACUUUCACCGUACGUUUUACUCGUCGCAGUGCGCUCCACGAAGCAGAGGUAAACGAGAAUACGAGCUCGUCUCUGAAGGAGCGUGGGAUUGACGAGAGUUUGUUAAAACAAGCUGAAAGACGACGCAGCAGAAGCUGAGAAGGAAGUGUGUGCAGCAUUUGGCGUUUCGCUUUUCGUUUGGGAUCCGAGCACAUCUGCGAGUCCUGGCCUGAUCAGGUGAUACAAUGUGGGACCGCAGCAGGAAGAGAGUCCGCUCGGGCCUCCACAUCACUGCUUUUACAGGCAAAAAAAAGAAGAAAUCUAAACAUUUUUGCCUAAUUUGCUAGUUUUUUUCCCUGUUUCUGUUACCCUGAAGUAUCAACAGCUGCUGUUGAAGAUGUGCCGUGAAGCCACAAGAGAAGUGAAACAUCGCCCUCUACUGCCUGCGACCAUAAUAACAGGAUAAAGUGGUUAAAAUGUAAACGUGAUUUCACUGACUGAUAUAAAAAGAACAUUAAAAAAAGUCUUAAAAUAUAAAAAAGUCCCACACAGUUACACUGCAUCUGUCCCAAAAACAUAAACAAAUACAAAGAAUUAAUAUUCAGGUGAGUGAACUUUGAUGCCUUCAAUUAAAAGGCAGCCUUCACUGACUACUUCCUGCUGUGCAUCACACUGUAAAGGUGUCUACGUUUCUCUUUUUUUAAAAACUUUACUCCGAAUGAACGACACAGAUACAAGAAAAAAAAACAGUAAAACAGUCAUCGGGAGCCUUACAAAGAGACAAAUUUGGAAUAUUCAAAGCAGGUUGCAAAUGAUUGGAGUUGGGAGAUGUUUUGCAAAUUCCUUUAGACAACUUCAGGGCGGCAGCAGAGUUUGAAGCAGCCAUAGACUAAACACGAGUACGAUCAUGCACACGGAGACACGGCUGUACAUGCAAGAGACGGAAAGACAAAGACAAACAAACACAGUCACACACACACACACACAGAGGGGCAUGCUUCUCUCACACACUGCCCGGAAACUGACUUUGUCUACAAGCCACAGCAGCUGAUGUAUCGCCCUUAAACCAGCGGAGUAUGAUUUUAGAGUAUUCCGAUUCCUCCAAUGAGCAGUCGAUCCCGUAUUGAAAAGGCUUGUGAACCAAAGCAACCCAUCUCUUUUUUAAAAACUAGAGCAAUUUCCUCUCCUGUCUCACACACACAAAGUGCAGGCAUACUGCGGGACACCCAGAUUUAAAGCUCAAAGACAUCUUCCGAUAACUGGCAGCACACCUAUUACAGAUGUGUGUCUGCAAAUUGAUACUUGUUCCCUUUCCUGUUUCGCUAAUCAGAAGAAGAAGGAAAAAAAAAAAGCUGCCAACUUUUUUUUAGAGUUAAGUCCCACUUUUUAAAAGUACAUUCACAA
ensembl:lncRNA